rnacentral:antisense_RNA from 3 species
CUUCACCGAGCCGAGCAGCAGCGGCCGUUCGGGGUCGCGGUCGGGGCCGUAGGUGGCCAGUAGGGCCUGGGCCUC